GCCCGGCUAGCUCAAUCGGUAGAGCGUGAGACUCUUAAUCUCAAGGUUGUGGGUUCGACCCCCACGUCGGGCU
rfam:Sordaria macrospora k-hell, WGS project CABT02000000 data, contig: 2.9